rnacentral:rRNA from 1 species
GACGUAGGGGCAGCAGUCGUUCGUUCGAUUUGUGGCGUAAAGAGCGCGCAGGCGGCUCGUACAAGUCGCGUGUGAAAGCCCCCGGCUCAACUGGGGAGGGUCACGCGAUACUGUUCGACUCGAAGGCAGGAGAGGGUAGUGGAAUUCCCGGUGUAGUGGUGAAAUGCGUAGAUAUCGGGAGGAACACCAGUGGCGAAGGCGACUACCUGGCCUGUUCUUGACGCUGAGGCGCGAAAGCUAGGGUAGCAAACGG